rnacentral:rRNA from 1 species
GAUGAACGCUAGCGGCAGGCCUAACGCAUGCAAGUCGAGGGGUAUAGUAGCAAUACUAGAGACCGGCGCACGGGUGCGUAACGCGUAUGCAAUCUACCUUUUACAGGGGAAUAGCCCAGAGAAAUUUGGAUUAAUGCCCCAUGGUAUAUAUGAAUCGCAUGGUUUAUAUAUUAAAGUUCCAACGGUAAAAGAUGAGCAUG